GGCCCUAAAAAAAAAAAAAAAGACAAAAAGACCAAACCAAAAACCGAUCUGGAUUCUCAUUGGACGGACAAGAAGUCAUGGAGUAGGUGUGUGACAGUCCACAGUCUGCUCGGAGGCAAUGGUCUACGAUGGUGUGUCAUCACCCACUGGAACUUAAACCCCACGACGAUGGGAUGUCCUGCCCCCAGCACAAGCUGCCCAGUGCCACGCUCAUGGGCGGUGUCCAGGGAAAGGCUUGUCCCAGCAGUAAUCCUCCAGCUCUGCCUCUCUCCAACCCAGGGUGCGGUCAGUGGGUGGAGUGGAGUUAUGUGACCACCUCCUCCUCGGGUCGCUCUAGUUGGAGUAAGGAGCGGCGGGUCACCUUCACGAAAGGUUGAAGUUCAAAUCCUGAUUCUCUUCCUUACUAGUUGUGUUGGCCUUGGUCGUGUACCUUAGCCUCUGUGAGCUGCUUUCCUCGCUCUCCUGCUUCCCUCAGAUCCAAGAUCAAGGGAGAUCUUAUCUGUAGAAACAUUUGUACAAACACUUUUUUUGUCUUUUUGCCU